AACGAACGCUGGCGGCGCGUAUUAAGCAUGCAAGUCGAACGGGAGUGAGGCCCUUCGGGGUUUCAUGAGAGUGGCGAACGGGUGAGUAACACGUAGGUGAUCUACCCUUGGGUGGGGAAUAGCCCAUGGAAACAUGGGGUAAUACCGCAUGAGGUCUUUCUGCGUAAAGCGGAUGGAUAAAAGGAGCAAUUGAUCCGCCUGGGGAUGAGCCUGCGGUCCAUUAGCUAGUUGGUGUGGUAAGAGCGCACCAAGGCGACGAUGGAUAGCCGGCCUGAGAGGGUGCACGGUCACACUGGGACUGAGACACGGCCCAGACUCCUACGGGAGGCAGCAGCUAAGAAUCUUCCGCAAUGGGGGAAACCCUGACGGAGCGACGCCGCGUGGGCGAAGAAGGCCGGAAGGUUGUAAAGCCCUUUUCUUGACGAAGAAUAAGGCAAGGAGUGGAACGCCUUGCUGAUGACGUUAGUCGUGGAAGAAGCCCCGGCCAAUUACGUGCCAGCAGCCGCGGUAACACGUAUGGGGCAAGCGUUGUUCGGAAUUACUGGGCGUAAAGGGUGCGUAGGCGGUUCAGCAAGCUUGGUGUUAAAUCCCCCGGCCUAACCGGGGAGCAGCGCUGGGAACUGCUGGGCUGGAGUUCAGGAGGGGAAGCUGGAAUUCCUGGUGUAGGGGUGAAAUCUGUAGAGAUCAGGAAGAACACCGAUGGCGAAGGCAAGCUUCUGGCCAUGGACUGACGCUGAGGCACGAAAGCGUGGGGAGCGAACAGGAUUAGAUACCCUGGUAGUCCACGCCGUAAACGAUGUGCACUAGGUGUUGGGGCGAUGAAAGCCUCGGUGCCGUAGCGAACGUGUUAAGUGCACCGCCUGGGGAGUAUGCUCGCAAGACUG
rnacentral:rRNA from 1 species